rnacentral:rRNA from 1 species
UAAGGAAUAUUGCGCAAUGGGCGACAGCCUGACGCAGCGACGCCGCGUGGGGGAUGAAGGUCUUCGGAUUGUAAACCCCUUUCGGCAGGGAAGAUGGAACGGGUAACCGUUCGGACGGUACCUGCAGAAGCAGCCACGGCUAACUUCGUGCCAGCAGCCGCGGUAAUACGAAGGUGGCAAGCGUUGUUCGGAUUUACUGGGCGUACAGGGAGCGUAGGCGGUUGGGUAAGCCCUCCGUGAAAUCUCCAGGCUUAACCUGGAACAGUCGGAGGGGACUGCCGGGCUAGAGGACGGGAGAGGAGCGCGGAAUUCCCGGUGUAGCGGUGAAAUGCGUAGAGAUCGGGAGGAAGGCCGGUGGCGAAGGCGGCGCUCUGGAACGUUUCUGACGCUGAGGCUCGAAAGCGUGGGGAGCAAACAGGAUUAGAUACCCCGGUAGUCCCUGAGCGGGCUGGCAAGGCGCAU